GAUGAACGCUAGCGAUAGGCUUAACACAUGCAAGUCGAGGGGCAGCAUGGUCUUAGCUUGCUAAGACUGAUGGCGACCGGCGCACGGGUGCGUAACGCGUAUGCAACUUGCCUCACAGAGGGGGAUAACCCGUCGAAAGACGGACUAAUACCGCGUACACUUGGGAUAGGGCAUCCUGACCCAAGGAAAUGAAAUUCGCUGUGAGAUAGGCAUGCGUCCCAUUAGCUAGUUGGUGAGGUAACGGCUCACCAAGGCGACGAUGGGUAGGGGAACUGAGAGGUUGAACCCCCACACUGGUACUGGGACCCGGACCAGACUCCUACGGGAGGCAGCAGUGAGGAAUAUUGGUCAAUGGGCGAGAGCCUGAACCAGCCAAGUCGCGUGAAGGAUGACUGUCUUAGGGAUUGUAAACUUCUUGUAUACGGGAAUAACAAGAGUCACGUGUGGCUCCCUGCAUGUACCGUAUGAAUAAGCAUCGGCUAACUCCGUG
rnacentral:rRNA from 1 species